rnacentral:rRNA from 1 species
UACGUAGGGUGCAAGCGUUAAUCGGAAUUACUGGGCGUAAAGCGUGCGCAGGCGGUGAUGUAAGACAGUUGUGAAAUCCCCGGGCUCAACCUGGGAACUGCAUCUGUGACUGCAUUGCUGGAGUGCGGCAGAGGGGAUGGAAUUCCGCGUGUAGCAGUGAAAUGCGUAGAUAUGCGGAGGAACACCGAUGGCGAAGGCAAUCCCUGGGCCUGCACUGACGCUCAUGCACGAAGCGUG